GUGAGGCUGGGUUAGGAGCCUGGGAUGCUCAGUGAACAAGUGGCCAAAGGCCAUUUUGUGAGAGCCUCCCAGUGUGCAGCCACUAACACAAACAGGUACUGGCUCGGGACUGGCUCCUGAUACCUCACACCUGAACACUGACCACUGAAUUCCUUUUCUUUCCUGUGCUCUGGAGCUCAGACCCCUGAGGACUGCUGAGGAAGAACUUGACAGACUUCUCCCACCCCUCAACCCCUAGAUGGGUGAAAUGGAUGAAGGAGAUCAAAAGCUCAUUGGACAGAUGUCUGAAAGAAAAAUUGCUUGGUCAAAAGGAAGAACAACUAACAACCAUUCACGGACAAGACACCACUGAGAAAAUCCUAAAACGUGGAAGUGAGGCUGAAGUACCCUCCUGUACCACAGAGACCAAGACAGACUGCAUUGGGAGGGCAUACAACCACUGGGUAAAUUGAAGGUAUCUUACCAAGAGCUGUUGACCUGUUCAGAAUAUCACAUCACUGCUGUCCGAAAUGGCUAAGGUGUCCAAGAUGCCUACAUAGUAUCACACGUUCUUGCAUCUACUGAGUGGUGCCCAUGUCCCCCCAUUACAUUCACAGAGGAGCCAGCCUCCCAUGCCUUCAUUCUGCCUCCUGGUGAAUCAUGCUUAAGAAGAACCAUUGGAAAGACUUAACUAUUUUAUUAUGAAUUACUUCUAAGUUCUCCUGUCAUUACACUUAGAGCAUUAUUUUGACUUUUAAAGUUAUGUGUAAGUAGACUGUGUUUUCUCUGAGUUUCAUUUCAGGAUGGUAGAGAGAACAUUAAGACCUUUGUUACUGAAUCUGAAGGGCACACUGAAUCAAAGGAUUGACAACCACUGCUCAAGAAUACACGAAAUUGUCAGGUCUCUAUGGAGUUCACAUAUUUGUUGCCUAUUAACCAGCCGUACUUGCUGAGGUGGGCUAACUUCUGAUUGAUCUACUUAUGUUGAUCGCUGUACCCAUCCUGCCUCUGGGAGGUGUGCUGUACUCUUGAAUUGAGGAUAGGGACAAGAAGAGUGAAGGAAGAGUGGGAGAGAAGGAAGAGGUCAUCACUCCACUUCUAGGAAAUACGAUGGAGUGGAAAGAACAGAGUGGCCUGGAAUUCUGGGGACCUAGAUUCAGUUCCACAGAACUCUCUGUGUGUCCUCCGACAUGGCACUUCAGUUCUAUGAGUCUUAGACUUUUUACCUGAAAAAAUGGACCACAUCCCUUCCAGUCUAGGUCUCUCAAAAAAAGUCCCACUUGACACUAUACAUAUACUUUCCCUGAAAGCACCAAUCACCUGCAUAUAAAAGAAGCAGAGCUAUUUCUCCUGUAUCUAUUGAGAAACAUCGUGGGAGAGGGGAAAAGAGAAGAGCACUAAAAUUUUUAAUAAAUUUUUACAGGGAUAGAUAUUUUAAGCACAUGAUCAUGUGAUAUUCAUAAGAGGAGAUGAGGAAACUGAGGCUGAGAGAUGUUAAGUAACCUGCACAAGGUCAUGAUGCCAGGACACAACAGAGCAGGGGUUUGUACCCAAGCCUGCCUGACUCCAAAGCUUGUUCCAAACCACCAUGUUUUCCUAAAGAGAAGGGGAUCUGAGAGGCCCAGAAAGACCCUCACUUCUUAACUAAAGAGGAAGAGUCUUGUGUUAUUGGCCAAUUUCAUUUGCUGAGACCGCAGUAUCAUUAUAUGUAAGGUGAUCACUUGUCCCUCUUUGCCUGGUACAGUCCCACGGUAUGCCUGUUUCCUAGCAGCAUUAUUAAAGUGCCCCUUUCACUCUCAAAAGGUUUGCCUAAUAGAUUUUAUGGUCACCUAAUUACGUGUGUAUAUGUCAUACCUCCUGUGAUUGUAUCCUGGAAGCCAAAAAAAAAAAAAAAAUUCACUUGCUGUUGUGGGGAUUAAUGGUUUAGGUCAGAAAUAAGCUUUCGAGUUCACUGUAUUAUGCAUGAGCUAUCAGUGCCCCAAAUGUUUUCUAUCCACAUUUAGCAGCAUGCGGACUUCCAACUGUAGUAAGAUGGUACGCCAUUAAACUCCUGUGUGACUCCUUUACCUUCCCUUUGCUGGGGAUAAAGUCUAAUCCUUCAAGAGAAGCUCAUGUCUCAUGGGUUUAAAGAAAAGAUCCCGAGAAUGACAUGUACUUUUUCAGAUGAGGGUUUCCACUUUCAGGCAUAGACACUGCAAAAUAUCUCACACUAGAAAUGUUCCUGAUGCCUCUGAAUAUCCUUGGGAAGCUGCCUGCUCGUUCUAUUUAAAACCCAUAAGAGUCAUCCCAGUGACUCUGGAAAGUAUAGACGAAUGGAAAGUUAGACACACACACACACACACACACCACACUUCACAGCAAAUCCUAAUGUUCUUCCUAGCCAUGAACAUCAAUCUCACUUCUCCUUCUGGUCAUCAUCUACCAACCUCCUGGUCAUGCCUCUAGAGUAGCUGAACAUUUUGAAACCUUUGUCUUACCAUUUUUUUGAUUUCAAUAUCUAGAAUUCAAGAGAAUUCAGUCAAUCCUUGUCCUCAUAUUGCAGAAGUCAACUGCCCCUUCCAGACCACUGAAGUGGCUCUCACCAAGAUAUCCAAUGAUCACCAUGUUGCUAAAGACAAUGUGUGCUCUCUUCUGUCCUCCUACUGACCACUCUACCUCUGUGACUUCACACUCUCUUGGUUUCCAUCUCAUGAUUCUAAGCUACCUCUGUCUUUUCCACAGUCUUUUCACCUCUAUUUGUGGUAGCUUCAGCUCUCUGCUCUUGUCACUCUGUACCCUCCCCCUUAGCGUCUCAACCAUAUGCAUGGCUCCACCAUGCUACUGCAGCAUUACUCAACACAGCUCUGCAGGUCACUUGUGUCCUUGCCCAUUGUUCCUUGAAAUUAGUUUGGGAAACUGUGCACACUAUCACCUUUUGGACAUUACUAUUAAGGUUAAGAGUACAAGCGCUCAUCAAAAAUUAUGGCUAUCACUGUGGAAAACGAUAUGGAGAUUCAUCAAAAAACGAAAAAUAGAACUACCAUACGACCCAGCAAUUCCACUC